AACGCGAAGAACCUUACCUACCCUUGACAUGGCUGGAAUCCCCGAGAGAUUGGGGAGUGCUCGAAAGAGAACCAGUACACAGGUGCUGCAUGGCUGUCGUCAGCUCGUGUCGUGAGAUGUUGGGUUAAGUCCCGCAACGAGCGCAACCCUUGUCAUUAGUUGCUACGAAAGGGCACUCUAAUGAGACUGCCGGUGACAAACCGGAGGAAGGUGGGGAUGACGUCAAGUCCUCAUGGCCCUUAUGGGUAGGGCUUCACACGUCAUACAAUGGUACAUACAGAGCGCCGCCAACCCGCGAGGGGGAGCUAAUCGCAGAAAGUGUAUCGUAGUCCGGAUUGUAGUCUGCAACUCGACUGCAUGAAGUUGGAAUCGCUAGUAAUCGCGGAUCAGCAUGUCGCGGUGAAUACGUUCCCGGGUCUUGUACACACCG
rnacentral:rRNA from 1 species